UGUGAUUAGUGGCGAACGGGUGAGUAACACGUGAGUAACCUGCCCCUGACUCUGGGAUAAGCGUUGGAAACGACGUCUAAUACUGGAUAUGAUCACUGGCCGCAUGGUCUGGUGGUGGAAAGAUUUUUUGGUUGGGGAUGGACUCGCGGCCUAUCAGCUUGUUGGUGAGGUAAUGGCUCACCAAGGCGACGACGGGUAGCCGGCCUGAGAGGGUGACCGGCCACACUGGGACUGAGACACGGCCCAGACUCCUACGGGAGGCAGCAGUGGGGAAUAUUGCACAAUGGGCGAAAGCCUGAUGCAGCAACGCCGCGUGAGGGAUGACGGCCUUCGGGUUGUAAACCUCUUUUAGUAGGGAAGAAGCGAAAGUGACGGUACCUGCAGAAAAAGCACCGGCUAACUACGUGCCAGCAGCCGCGGUAAUACGUAGGGUGCAAGCGUUGUCCGGAAUUAUUGGGCGUAAAGAGCUCGUAGGCGGUUUGUCGCGUCUGCUGUGAAAUCCCGAGGCUCAACCUCGGGCUUGCAGUGGGUACGGGCAGACUAGAGUGCGGUAGGGGAGAUUGGAAUUCCUGGUGUAGCGGUGGAAUGCGCAGAUAUCAGGAGGAACACCGAUGGCGAAGGCAGAUCUCUGGGCCGUAACUGACGCUGAGGAGCGAAAGCGUGGGGAGCGAACAGGAUUAGAUACCCUGGUAGUCCACGCCGUAAACGUUGGGCGCUAGAUGUAGGGACCUUUCCACGGUUUCUGUGUCGUAGCUAACUCAUUAAGCGCCCCGCCUGGGGAGUACGGCCGCAAGGCUAAAACUCAAAGGAAUUGACGGGGGCCCGCACAAGCGGCGGAGCAUGCGGAUUAAUUCGAUGCAACGCGAAGAACCUUACCAAGGCUUGACAUACACCGGAAACGGCCAGAGAUGGUCGCCCCCUUGUGGUCGGUGUACAGGUGGUGCAUGGUUGUCGUCAGCUCGUGUCGUGAGAUGUUGGGUUAAGUCCCGCAACGAGCGCAACCCUCGUUCUAUGUUGCCAGCGCGUUAUGGCGGGGACUCAUAGGAGACUGCCGGGGUCAACUCGGAGGAAGGUGGGGAUGACGUCAAAUCAUCAUGCCCCUUAUGUCUUGGGCUUCACGCAUGCUACAAUGGCCGGUACAAAGGGCUGCGAUACCGUAAGGUGGAGCGAAUCCCAAAAAGCCGGUCUCAGUUCGGAUUGAGGUCUGCAACUCGACCUCAUGAAGUCGGAGUCGCUAGUAAUCGCAGAUCAGCAACGCUGCGGUGAAUACGUUCCCGGGCCUUGUACACACCGCCCGUCAAGUCAUGAAAGUCGGUAACACCCGAAGCCGGUGGCCUAACCCUUG
rnacentral:rRNA from 1 species